UACGGGGGGUGCGAGCGUUGUCCGGAAUCACUGGGCGUAAAGGGCGCGUAGGUGGUUUGAUAAGGGUGUGGUGAAAGUCCGGGGCUCAACCCCGGAUCUGCCGUGCCGACUGUCAAACUCGAGGACUGUAGAGGCAGACGGAAUUCCGGGUGUAGCGGUGGAAUGCGUAGAUAUCCGGAAGAACACCGGAGGCGAAGGCGGCUUGCUGGACCUGGUCUGACGCUGAGGCGCGAAAGCGUGGGGAGCGAACAGG
rnacentral:rRNA from 1 species